GACGAACGCUGGCGGCGUGCCUAAUACAUGCAAGUCGAACGGACGGGCGAGAAGUUUGCUUCCUGGAUGAGUGCCGCACGGGGGAGUAACACGUGUGUAACCUGCACCUAUAAGAGGGAUAAAUCUUGGAAACACCGGCUCUUACAGCAUAUAAUAUUUUGAUGCAUGUUGGUCAAUAGAAAGAUACGGUCGUUCUGUUACGAAUUGAUGCUUCCGCGCUUCAUUAGCUGGUUGGUAAGGUAACGGCCUACCAAGGCAAGGAUGGAUUGCCGACGGGAGUGGGGGAUAGCCCACCCGGGAAGUGAGACACGGUCCAGACUCCUACGGGAGGCACCAGAAGGCAACCUUAGGCAAUGGGCGAAAGCCUGACGGAGCAAGCCGGCGUGAGUGAUAAAGGUCUCGGGUUCGUAAAACCCGUUUUUUGGGAAUAAACAGAUUUGGAAUGAAAUGUGCACAUCGUGACGGUACCUAAUCAGAAAGCAACGGCUAACUACGUG
rnacentral:rRNA from 1 species